GAUGAACGCUGGCGGCGUGCCUAAUACAUGCAAGUCGAGCGAACAGACGAGGAGCUUGCUCCUCUGACGUUAGCGACGGACGGGUGAGUCACACGUGGAUAACCUACCUAUAAGACUUGGCUAACUUCGGGAAACCGGAGCUACUACCGGGUACUAUAUUUAACCGCAUGGUUCAGUAGUGAAUGGCGGUUUUGCUGUCACUUAUAGAUGUAUCCGCGCCGCGUUAGCUAGUUGGUAACGUAACGGCUUACCAAGGCAACGAUGCGUAGCCGAGAUUAGAGGGGGAAGGGGGCCACAGGAACUGAGACGCGGUACUGACUCCUAGGGGAGGCAGAAGUAGCGAAUCGUCCGAAAAGUGCGGAAGCCUGCCGGAGCAAUGCCGGGUGGGUGAUGAAGGGCUGCGUAUCGUAAAACGCCGUUAGGAGGGAAGAACAAAUGUGUAAGUAACGAUGCACUUCCUGACGGUACUUAAUAAGAAAGCCACGGCUAACUACGUG
rnacentral:rRNA from 1 species